AGUCGAGCGGAGAAUGGGAGCUUGCUCCCAUUUCUCAGCGGCGGACGGGUGAGUAACACGUGGGCAACCUGCCCUACAGACUGGGAUAACUCCGGGAAACCGGAGCUAAUACCGGGUAAUACAUAGCAUCGCAUGAUGCAACGUUGAAAGUUGGCCUUUGGCUAACACUGUAGGAUGGGCCCGCGGCGCAUUAGCUAGUUGGUAAGGUAACGGCUUACCAAGGCCACGAUGCGUAGCCGACCUGAGAGGGUGAUCGGCCACACUGGGACUGAGACACGGCCCAGACUCCUACGGGAGGCAGCAGUAGGGAAUCUUCCGCAAUGGACGAAAGUCUGACGGAGCAACGCCGCGUGAGUGACGAAGGCCUUCGGGUCGUAAAGCUCUGUUGUUAGGGAAGAACAAGUACCGUUCGAAUAGGGCGGUACCUUGACGGUACCUAACCAGAAAGCCACGGCUAACUACGUGCCAGCAGCCGCGGUAAUACGUAGGUGGCAAGCGUUGUCCGGAAUUAUUGGGCGUAAAGCGCGCGCAGGCGGUCUCUUAAGUCUGAUGUGAAAGCCCACGGCUCAACCGUGGAGGGCCAUUGGAAACUGGGGGACUUGAGUGCAGAAGAGGAGAGUGGAAUUCCACGUGUAGCGGUGAAAUGCGUAGAUAUGUGGAGGAACACCAGUGGCGAAGGCGGCUCUCUGGUCUGUAACUGACGCUGAGGCGCGAA
rnacentral:rRNA from 2 species